UAGGGUUUUUUCUAACACUUGAGGGAGGGUGCUCUGGUCUAUCCUUAGUACUGAAUGAAAAAUUUUGUUUUGUUAACUGGCUGAACUGAAUAUUGUUGGAUCUGCUGAGCUAUCAAUGUGACAGAUGAUUAAGUCAUCUUGGUCAACAGUUAAGAUUCCCCUGAUCUUCUCGAACAACCGCUCCUACUCUGGCUAUGUUCCUAUUUCUGAGUAGAACCUCUUCAAAGUUUACUUUAUACUAGCUACUUGGUGGUGGUUCUUUCCACUUGAUGAUCCUUCUAGUACCUGCUGCUUCCUUGUUUUCUAAGUUUUGCAGUUGAUCCUGUAGGGUUUCAAUGUUGAAGGGCAAAAAACUCUAAGCUCUUGGUGUAUCAAUUCCAGAUGAUUAUGAGGCUGGUAUGGCUGCUGCAGAUGGAGCCACCAAUUGUGGAACACUUGCUAUUACUUUACAUUGCUUGCUUGCCUAGCAUGGUGGUCAUGGCUCCAUUUGAUGAAGCUGAACUGAUGCACAUGGUUGCCACAGUGGCAGUCGUAGAUGACAGACAGACCCAGCUGCUUCAGGUAUCCAAGGGCAAUGGUAUUGGAGCAGCUCUUCCUCUUAAUAACAAGGGAACACCUCCUGAGAUCUCAACAAGCAAUUAGCCAAUGAGCAUGAAAUCCUAAUUACAAUGGAAGAGGGUUCAAUUGGAUGUUAUGGACCUCAUUUAUUGCACUACCUAAGCUUAACUGGUAUUUUGGAUGGACCCCUUGAGUUGAGAGCAAUGGUGCUUCCUCACAAGAUCAUAUUUGAGGAAGCUCAGCUCUCCGCAAGAUAUAUUUCAGCAACAAUCUUAUCUCUCUUAGGAAGGCCAAAAGAAGCUCUUCAGUUCAAGUGAGCACACGCAUGGAAAGAAGUUCCUGACAAGGAAUUGUUUUAGGUUUCUAGGAGCUUGUGAAAUUCCAACUCAGAAUGCUCGUUAAGGGGUACUUAUAUUUAGUGGUUAAUAAUCUUCAAAUGCCCAUAGUCUUAAAUCAUAUGUUCACUAGUUUCAAGUUCAAAGUUGAAUCAAUGAGGGCAUAAUGCAUAUUAAAUAAAAUUGUUGUAAUGAAGAUCGCAUUAAACAUGAAAUUAUACAACGGUCCAAGCAAAGAAAUAUUAGUCUUAUACAUGACAA